ensembl:lncRNA
AUGAUUCACCCAGGCCUUGGACCUGGCAGAGUCUGGACCUACGUGUGGCUCUCACAACACUGCCAGGCUCUGCAGUCUCCUUACCUGGUAGCCAGGCACAGUAUGGAAAGGAAACCUUUCUUUUGUUUCUUUACAGAUCUGCCUGUACGCCGCGUAUCUGGGCUGCGCCGUUUAUAUCAGCCUCAAGGCUACCCCAGGGAGGUGGUUUCAGGUGCUGGCUCUGUAGCUUCUCGGUGGGUUCCUGGUGUUGAGCCUUGGAGGAAUCACAUGGGUAAGUGGUGUGUCUGGGUUUCCUCAAAGAGAUGCCAGGUGCAUCUAGAAGGCUUGGCUUAUCUGUAUCCAGCCUAUCCCAUGAAAGGUAUUUUGGAAUGUCACAAGGAUCCUAGGGUUAUGUUUUUCUUUGGAGAUGCAUUUGAUCCCUGGCUAUGGCUCGCACAGGCCUCUGCUCUGUAUCUGGCUGAAUCUGGACCUACGUGUGGCUCUCAGAUCACUAUGUCCUUGGGCACACAGCCUCUUGUCUUGUUAGGUAGAAAUGGGGAACAGAACAGGCCUAGUAUAAUCCAUGAUGAGAUGAUUUUGGACUUGCUCUGAAAGCUAGACGUCACAAGUCCAUGGGGCUGGAUGGAUUGCACCCUUGAUUGCUAAGGGAGUUGGGGGAUGUGGUUGCCACUCUCCAUCAUUCUUCAGCAGUCCUGGCUAUCCCGGAAUGUCCCGGUGGAUUGGAGACUGGCAAUGUGACGCCCAUCUUCAAAAAGGGUGGAAAGAUGAUCCUGGUAGCUACAGACCUAUUAGUCUCUCAUAGGUGCCAGGGAACAUCAUGGAAUGGAUAAUCUUGGGAGCCAUCAUGGAUCAAUUAAAGGCCAACCAGAGUAUCAGGCCCAGUCAGCAUGCGUUUAUGAAUGAUAGAUCCUGUCUGACAAACCUGAUUUCAUUCUAUGACAAGAUGACCUGCUUAGUGGAUGAAAGUAAGACACCUGAUUUGGUCUACCUGGACUUCAGUAAAGCCUUUGACACUGUCCCCCACAACAUCCUCGUGGAGAAGCUGGCUGCCCAUGGUUUGGAUAGGUGUACGCUCCACUGGGUGAAACACUGACUGGAUGUCUGGGCCCAAAGAGUGCUGGUCAAUGGAAUUAAAUCCAGUUGGCAGCCGGUCACGAGCGGUGUCUCCCAGAGCUUGGUACUGGGGCCGCUCCUGUUCAACAUCUUUAUGAAUGACCUUGAUGAGGGAAUUGAGUGCACCCUCAGUAAGUUUGCAGAUGGCACCAAGUUGGGAGGUAGUGUUGAUCUGCCUGAGGGGAGAAAGGCACUACAGAGGGACCCAGAUAGAUUAGAUUGAUGAAGCAAGGCAAACUAUGUGUUUCAAUAGGGCCAAGUGUCAGGUCCUGCAUUUUGGUCACAAUCCCAGGCAACCCUAGAGGCUUGGGAGGAGUGGCUCCCCAAAAGCUGCCUGACGGAAAGGGACCUUGAUGUACUGAUGGACAAUUGGCUCAAUAUGAGCCAGCAGUGUGCCCAGGUGGCCAAGAAACCCAACAGCAUUCUGGCUUGUAUCAGGAAUGAUGUAGUGAGCAGGACUAAGGAAGUAAUCCUACCCCUGUACUCAGCACUGAUGAGGCCUCACCUUGAGUACUGUGUUCAGUUUUGGGCACCUCAGUACAGAAAGGUGCUGGAGCAGAUCCAAAGAAGGCAACAAGGCUUGUGAAGGGCUUGGAGAAUAUGCCUUAUGAGGAGUGACUAAAGGAAAUUGGACUGUUUAGUCUGGGGAAGAGGAGGCUGAGGGGAGAUGUUACUGCUCUCUUCAAAUACCUGGAAGGUGCUGACAGCGAGAGUGGGGUUGGUCUCUUCUCACUAGUGACAAGUGACGAGGGGAAAUGGCCUCAAGUUGUGCCAGGGAAGGAUUAGGUUGGAUAUCAUGAAAAACUUCUUUACAGAAAGGGUGGUUAAGCAAUGGGAUAGGCUUCCUAGGGAGGUGGUGGAGUCACCAUCCCUGGAUGUGUUUAAAAUCCAUUUGGAUAUGGUGCUCAAGGACAUGAUUUAGCGGUGGUUUGCUAGAGUUAGGGUAGUAUGGUUAGGUUGUAGUUGGACUUGGUGAUCUUUAAUGUUUUUUCCAAUUGAGCAAUUCUAUAAUUGCAUGAUUUUAUGAUUCUAUGAUUCCCCUCACUGGGAAGCCUAGCACAAUAUUUUGUUUCUGUUUAUGAGGGUGGAUAGAGAUAGGACAAAGGGGAAUGGUUUUAAACUGAGAAAGGGGAGGCUUAGGUUGGAUAUUACGAGGAAAUUUUUCACUUAGAUGGUGGUGACACACUGGAAUGGGUUGCUCAGAGAGAUUGUGAACGCCCCAUUCCUGGAGGCAAUCAAGGCCAGGCUGGAUGUGGCUCUGGGCAACCUGGUCUGGUGGUUGGCGACCCUGCACAUAGCAAGGGGGUUGAAAGUUGGUGAUCAUUGUGGUCCUUUUCAACUCAGGCCAUUCUAUGAUUCUAUGAUUCUAUGAAUAUGUAAAGGAAACCUUUCUUUUGUUUGUUUAUAGAUUUGCCUGUAUGCCGCGUAUCUGGGCUGCGCCGUUUAUAUCAGCCUCAAGGCUACCCCAGGGGUGAGUGGUCCGUCUUUGUUCAUUUCACAGUGUCAGCAUGUACUUUCAGCCUUGUCUUCCUGUGGAAUAUAUCUUACAGUGUUGCUUGCUGAUGCUGGGGUGUGGAGAAGAGCAGAGUAGCAAUCAGGAGAGCACAGAGAUGUGCCCUGGGAUUCUUCGCCCUGCACAGCUGUGCUUGCCAGCAGCCCCAGCCUUAUGUCUCUUGAAGUGCUGAUGGCAAAGACAGCAGCAUUUGGGGCAGACUUUAGAGCUUCCUGGGGAUCCUUUCUCCCAGCCAACCUGAACAUG